rnacentral:rRNA from 1 species
UACAGAGGUCUCGAGCGUUGUUCGGAUUCAUUGGGCGUAAAGGCGCGUAGGCGGCGGGGUAAGUCUGGUGUGAAAUCUCGGAGCUCAACUCCGAAACUGCACUGGAUACUGCUCUGCUAGAGGGCUGGAGAGAGAUCGGAAUUCACGGUGUAGCAGUGAAAUGCGUAGAUAUCGUGAGGAAGACCAGUGGCGAAGGCGGAUCUCUGGACAGCUCCUGACGCUGAGGCGCGAAGGCUAGGGGAGCAAACGGG